rnacentral:lncRNA from 1 species
CAGAAGCAUGGAAUUACUACCUGAAUAGCAUUCAGCCAUCAUUCCCUCACUUAAUCAUUCAACAAACAGGUAUUGAGAAACUCGAGGCUCACGGGCAGAAGAGAUUUGCCUUGCCUCAGAUGACACUUUGGACUGUGGACUUUUGAGUUAAUGCUGAUAUGAGUUAAGACUUUGGGGGACUUAGGAAGUCCCAUGUUGGGAAGGCAUGAUUGGUUUUGAUAUGAGAGGACAUAAUAUUUGGGAGGGACCAGGGGUGGAAUGAUAUGAUUUGGCUGUGUUCCUACACAAAUCUCAUCUUGAAUUGUAGAUCCCAUAAUCCCCAUGUGUCGUGGGAGGGACCCUGGUGGGAGGUAAUUGACUUAUGGGGGUGUUUUUCCUGUGCUGUUCUUAUGAUAGUGAAUAAGGCUCACAUGAUCUGAUGGUUUUAUAAAUUACACUUUCCCUGAACAUAAUCUCUUGCCUGCUGCCAUGUAAGCUGUGCUUUUGCUCCUCCUUUGCCUUCCACCAUGACUGUGAGGCCUUCCUAAGCCAUGUGGAACUUUGAAUCCAUUAAACCUCUUUAUCUUUAUAAAUUACCCUGUCUUAGGUAUUUCUUUAUAGCAGUAUAAAAAUGGGCUAAUACAGCCAUAACUCUCUUCA